AGCGUUUCCAGCAGCUACACACACCAAACCAGCAUCACGUGAUAGCGAUGGGCGCUUGCCCACUGGGAAGUCAGGAGGUCGAUGAGAAAAAUUAUUUUAGCCUGUGCUGCGCCUUCAUGUUUGGAACUUCUAUCCAAAACAAUGCAGAGUUCUCAUGCCCGCUCCCUCCUCUGGGAUGGUGGGGGGGGCUCUACACAGGCUUGAGACUGCAAUCCCCCCUCCCCUAUGGCCUGCAGGUCACACUGCUACUAAAGGCAGGGAGGGACAGGGACAGGGAGAGGACACUUCUAGUUAUGACACACACCAGCCUGCGGUAAGCUAGAUGGGUUUUCAGGGAAGGAAGCAGAAUACUCCCGAUGGAUAGAGAAAUCAGGAGAUUCAUUCCCUCCAUUCCCCACGAGGGAACGCUGAGGAAGAAGAGAGAACAGACAUGGGAGACCACAGAGAGGGAUGAAUGAGAAGAUGCAAGCUGAGAGGGAGGAAAGGGAAAGGGGGCGAGCUGCCAGUGAAGGCACGGGCUUAUAUUCCCCUAACAGAGCCCUCGGAGCAGCCUACAGCCGCACUUGCACGCGCUGUGUUAGGAUGUGUCCUUCCAGCAUUCCCAAUGCCGGGGCUCCAGACAUGUAGAGUGGAGGUGGUGUGAACCACAGACAGAUUUCCGCGGGCUCCAGAGAGACGCUCACUUACUGAAGUGAGCUGAAGUGCGUGUAGUGGCUCCCCCAGAAGGCCACCAAGAGCUCUAGAAACCCGGAGCUGUCACGGGUCUGUGCUGCAACUGCAUUUGACUGCCUUACACACCACGGCCUUCAGCCACAAGUCCAAUGCCGACCGUGGCAGGGGUCCUAAUUCCUAAAACACAUCAAGGUCAAGGUGCCGAAUAAUAAGCUUUUUGGGCAGUCCCGUGUACACUCACGUCAGGCCAGUGGAUCAGAACUUUCGGAGCCCGAGGUCACCAGCUACGAAGAGGCCAGUGUGUCAGGACACAGGGUGAAGAUGCUAAUGGCCACCUUGGUGUGUCUGAAGGCCCAGAGGCCCUGCAUCGGGCAUCCAAGCAGAAGGCAGGAGGCUGUCUGAUGCUUAGUGCUCCUCUCAGGCACCUCCCACUCCAUCUCCCGAAUUCCUCCCAACUUAUGCAAAAUACAGCUGCGUCAGGUACUUUCUCCUGCUACCAUGAGACACUCUGAUCAGAACACGACUUGGAAAGGGAAGGGUUUGUUUCACCUUUGCGUUUCCGGGUCAUAGCUCAUCACUGAGGCAAGUCAGGGCAGGAACCUUGGAGGAGCACUAUUUACUGACUCUGUCACCUUCCAUCCUCAGCAACAUUUCUCACACAGCCCAGGCUCACCGGCCUAGGGAUGGUGCCACUCACCAUUGGCUCCGCCCUCGCACGUCAACCGUCAACAAAGACACAGACACAGCCGCCGGCCAGUUGACAGUGAAUACUGACCAGCCAAGCAGAAGAUAUUAUAAGCCACAUUGCCUCUAUCUGCAGGUGGCACUAUAAACUACAUUGUCUCUAGAUAUCCAAAAGCAUGCCAGUUGGGGAUGCCACAAAAGUCUUCGUAAUGCAAAGAGCGGCAGGCAGGGUGGGGCCGUCUCUGGUACAUAGAGUCUGGGAUUAUGACAGAAUAUUUGCCAUGGGAGAGCCAAUAAAGAUGAAGUUGAGAUGCCCCCAGGCAGGCUUGCCACCCAACAGUUUCUGGCCCCGCAGCCAGGGACACCAAGCGCCCUAGCAGAGUCCCCUUCCAAAAGGCCACAUUUGAAACUCAGUAAAUCAGCUCAAUAUGUUUUCGGACUGUGGGUAUUAAAUAAAAGAGGCCAGUGAAA